CCGGAACUGAGACACGGUCCGGACUCCUACGGGAGGCAGCAGUGGGGAAUAUUGGACAAUGGGGGCAACCCUGAUCCAGCCAUGCCGCGUGUGUGAAGAAGGCCUUUUGGUUGUAAAGCACUUUAAGCAGGGAGGAGAGGCUAAUGGUUAAUACCCAUUAGAUUAGACGUUACCUGCAGAAUAAGCACCGGCUAACUCUGUGCCAGCAGCCGCGGUAAUACAGAGGGUGCGAGCGUUAAUCGGAAUUACUGGGCGUAAAGCGAGUGUAGGUGGCUCAUUAAGUCACAUGUGAAAUCCCCGGGCUUAACCUGGGAACUGCAUGUGAUACUGGUGGUGCU
rnacentral:rRNA from 1 species